rnacentral:tRNA from 1 species
GUCUCUGUGGCACAAUCGAUUAGUGCGUUCAUCUGUUAACCGAAAGGUUGGUGGUUCGAACCCACCCAGGGACG